rnacentral:rRNA from 1 species
GGUAAUUCUGGAGCUAAUACGUGCACAAAGACCCCGCCUGCGGGGCGCAUUUGCUCGCAGAAAACCGGACGACCUUCGGGCCGCUCCACGUUGACUCAGAGCAACUAAGCUGAUCGUACGGCCGUGUGCCGGCGACGUGUCUUUCGAGUGUCUGCCUUAUCAACUUGUCGGUAGCGUAUUGGACUACCGUGGUGGUGACGGGUAACGGAGAAUUAGGGUUCGACUCCGGAGAAGGGGCCUGAGAAAUGGCCACUACGUCUAAGGAUGGCAGCAGGCGCGCAAAUUACCCACUCUCGGCACGAGGAGGUAGUGACGAAAAAUAACGGAGCCGGCCCCUCUGGGGUUGGCGAUCGGAAUGGGUGCAAUCUAAACCCUUGAACGAGUAUCUAUGAGAGGGCAAGUCUGGUGCCAGCAGCCGCGGUAAUUCCAGCUCUCAGAAUGCAUAGAACCAUUGCUGCGGUUAAAAAGCUCGUAGUUGGAUUUGGGCGCGGGCCUCGGACCUCGCUCCGGCGUUGCUCUGGGUGUCCCGUGCUUCGUGCUGGUUCGUCCCGUGGUGCAGACUCCGGUCGGCUGCGGGCGGCUGGCGAGUCUACUUUGAACAAAUCAGAGUGCUCCAGACAGGCUCAACGCCUGAAUGCUCGUGCAUGGAAUAAUAGAAGAGGAUCUCGGUCCGAUUUUGUUGGUUUUGCGGCCGAGGUAAUGAUCAAUAGGGGCGGACGGGGGCAUUCGUACUUCUGCGUGAGAGGUGAAAUUUUUGGACCGCAGGAAGACGCACGACAGCGAAGGCAAUUGCCAAGCACGUCCCCGUUAAUCAAGAACGAAAGUCAGAGGAUCGAAGGCGAUCAGAUACCGCCCUAGUUCUGACCGUAAACGAUGCCAACUAGCGAUCCGCCGGCGGAUUUCUCGCCCUGGUGGGGAGCUUCCCGGAAACGAAAGUCUUCCGGUUCCGGGGGAAGUAUGGUUGCAAAGCUGAAACUUAAAGGAAUUGACGGAAGGGCACCACCAGGAGUGGAGCCUGCGGCUUAAUUUGACUCAACACGGGGAAACUCACCCGGGCCGGACACCGCGAGGAUUGACAGAUCGAGAGCUCUUUCUUGAUUCGGUGGAUGGUGGUGCAUGGCCGUUCUUAGUUCGUGGAGCGAUUUGUCUGGUUUAUUCCGAUAACGAGCGAGACUCUAGCCUGCUAAAUAGUGGAGCCAUUGCCUCGUGGCCGCCGCUUCUUAGAGGGAUUGGCGGCUCCCAGCCGCACGAAACUGAGCAAUAACAGGUCUGUGAUGCCCUUAGAUGUCCGGGGCUGCACGCGCGCUACACUGGCGAAGGCAGCGUGCCUGUCCUGCCGCGAAGGCGGUGGGUAAACCAUUGAAAAUUCGCCGUGAUUGGGAUCGGAGAUUGCAAUUAUUCUCCGUGAACGAGGAAUUCCAAGUAAGUGCGAGUCAUCAGCUCGCGUUGAUUACGUCCCUGCCCUUUGUACACACCGCCCGUCGCUGCCCGGGACUGAGCCAUUUCGAGAAAUUUGGGGAUCGGCGGACGGUCGCCUUCGGGCGGCCCCCGCUGCCAACCAACUUAAUCGCAGUGGCUUGAACCGGGCAAAAGUCGUAACAAGGUAGC